GACGAACGCUUUCGGCGUGCUUAACACAUGCAAGUCGAACGGAAAGGCCCUGCUUUUGUGGGGUGCUCGAGUGGCGAACGGGUGAGUAACACGUGAGUAACCUGCCCUUGACUUUGGGAUAACUUCAGGAAACUGGGGCUAAUACCGGAUAGGAGCUCCUGCUGCAUGGUGGGGGUUGGAAAGUUUCGGCGGUUGGGGAUGGACUCGCGGCUUAUCAGCUUGUUGGUGGGGUAGUGGCUUACCAAGGCUUUGACGGGUAGCCGGCCUGAGAGGGUGACCGGCCACAUUGGGACUGAGAUACGGCCCAGACUCCUACGGGAGGCAGCAGUGGGGAAUAUUGCACAAUGGGCGGAAGCCUAAUGCAGCAACGCCGCGUGCGGGAUGACGGCCUUCGGGUUGUAAACCGCUUUCGCCUGUGACGAAGCGUGAGUGACGGUAAUGGGUAAAGAAGCACCGGCUAACUACGUGCCAGCAGCCGCGGUGAUACGUAGGGUGCGAGCGUUGUCCGGAUUUAUUGGGCGUAAAGGGCUCGUAGGUGGUUGAUCGCGUCGGAAGUGUAAUCUUGGGGCUUAACCCUGAGCGUGCUUUCGAUACGGGUUGACUUGAGGAAGGUAGGGGAGAAUGGAAUUCCUGGUGGAGCGGUGGAAUGCGCAGAUAUCAGGAGGAACACCAGUGGCGAAGGCGGUUCUCUGGGCCUUUCCUGACGCUGAGGAGCGAAAGCGUGGGGAGCGAACAGGCUUAGAUACCCUGGUAGUCCACGCUGUAAACGGUGGGUACUAGGUGUGGGGUCCAUUCCACGGGUUCCGUGCCGUAGCUAACGCUUUAAGUACCCCGCCUGGGGAGUACGGCCGCAAGGCUAAAACUCAAAGGAAUUGACGGGGCCCCGCACAAGCGGCGGAGCAUGCGGAUUAAUUCGAUGCAACGCGUAGAACCUUACCUGGGUUUGACAUGGAUCGGGAGUGCUCAGAGAUGGGUGUGCCUCUUUUGGGGUCGGUUCACAGGUGGUGCAUGGCUGUCGUCAGCUCGUGUCGUGAGAUGUUGGGUUAAGUCCCGCAACGAGCGCAACCCUUGUUCACUGUUGCCAGCACGUUAUGGUGGGGACUCAGUGGAGACCGCCGGGGUCAACUCGGAGGAAGGUGGGGAUGACGUCAAGUCAUCAUGCCCCUUAUGUCCAGGGCUUCACGCAUGCUACAAUGGCUGGUACAGAGAGUGGCGAGCCUGUGAGGGUGAGCGAAUCUCGGAAAGCCGGUCUCAGUUCGGAUUGGGGUCUGCAACUCGACCUCAUGAAGUCGGAGUCGCUAGUAAUCGCAGAUCAGCAACGCUGCGGUGAAUACGUUCCCGGGGCU
rnacentral:rRNA from 1 species